rnacentral:rRNA from 1 species
UACGGGGGGGGCAGGCGUUGUUCGGAAUUACUGGGCGUAAAGGGCUCGUAGGCGGCCAACUAAGUCGGACGUGAAAUCCCGAGGCUCAACCUCGGGUCUGCAGUCGAUACGAGCAAACUAGAGUGUUGCAGGGGAGACUGGAAUUCCUGGUGUAGCGGUGAAAUGCGCAGAUAUCUGGAGGAACACCGGUGGCGAAGGCGGCGUUCUGGACUGUCUCUGACACUGAAGAACGAAAGCCAGGGGAGCAAACGGG